UUCUUAUUAGAUGAUGAUGUCACAUGUCAUGUUUUGAUUGGAUGUCAACUUAGAUGAAAUGCAUUGUUGUUUUCAUUGACCAAGCAGAACAUGACACAUGGUCGUCAUCAUUC
rfam:Glycine soja cultivar W05 scaffold2311_12, whole genome shotgun sequence.